rnacentral:rRNA from 1 species
ACUCCUGCGGGAGGCAGCAGUGGGGAAUAUUGCACAAUGGGCGCAAGCCUGAUGCAGCCAUGCCGCGUGUAUGAAGAAGGCCUUCGGGUUGUAAAGUACUUUCAGCGGGGAGGAAGGCGAUAAGGUUAAUAACCUUGUUGAUUGACGUUACCCGCAGAAGAAGCACCGGCUAACUCCGUGCCAGCAGCCGCGGUAAUACGGAGGGUGCAAGCGUUAAUCGGAAUUACUGGGCGUAAAGCGCACGCAGGCGGUCUGUCAAGUCGGAUGUGAAAUCCCCGGGCUCAACCUGGGAACUGCAUUCGAAACUGGCAGGCUAGAGUCUUGUAGAGGGGGGUAGAAUUCCAGGUGUAGCGGUGAAAUGCGUAGAGAUCUGGAGGAAUACCGGUGGCGAAGGCGGCCCCCUGGACAAAGACUGACGCUCAGGUGCGAAAGCGUGGGGAGCAAACAGGAUUAGAAACCCUUGUAGUCCCA